GACCAACGCUGGCGGCGUGCCUAACGCAUGCAAGUCGGACGGGCCAGCCUUCGGGCUGGCGCCGUGGCGGACGGGUGAGGAGCACGUGGGGAACCUGCCCCGGGGUGGGGGAUAACCCGCGGAAACGCGGGAUAAUACCGCCUACGCUCGGCCGGGGGAGCCUGGUCGAGGAAAGCCUCUGGGCGCCCUGGGAGGGCCCUGCGGCCGAUUAGCUGGACGGUGGGGUAACGGCCUACCGUGGCGAUGAUCGGUAGCUGGUCUGAGAGGACGGCCAGCC
rnacentral:rRNA from 1 species